rnacentral:piRNA from 1 species
UGUUAUGGAAUCAACGGAUUUGUAUGUC